rnacentral:rRNA from 1 species
AUGGUUUGUCAACUUGCGGUUAGUCACGACAAUUCACUGUUCUCACACAAAUUCAAGGAAACUAUCUGCAGUUUCCACACCACCUCUGUACCAAAGGGAUCAUCCACUUUCGCAGACUAUGGCUUUUCUCUGGUUUCUUCUCUACUCACUCAGCAUCUGUUCCCCUACCCUCCUCCUGAUGCAAAUAGAGCCCUUACACAAUUGCAAUACACUCCACUUACCUCAAGCUGUCGAGACACGCCCAAUUUGAUGGUCCAAUCAGGAACUAUAAUCAACACAAACUCACUUCUCAACAGGGCACGCAAUUAUUAA